rnacentral:misc_RNA from 1 species
GGAGAUUCCAAGAGAGUGGUUGAAUGUAAUAAGAAUCCUCUGCUUCAAAUAAAUUCACUGUUCUAACAAAUACAUGUUUAUCCAAGCUUCCAUUACAACUUGAGUUAAAAGGUUCAUGGUUGAAUUGUCAAAAUAAAGAUAUCAAUUACUCACAUCUAAUUAGAUGUUUAUCCAAGCUUCCAUUAGGCAUAAACUCAUACACCAAAAGCCGGUGGCCAUCCUCUAAGCAAUAGCCAAUCAAUUUCACAACAUUUGGCUGAUAUAGCUGGCCCAGGUACUUUAUUUCAGCCUAUUGUCCAAGAAACAUCACCAAACUUGAUCGACAAUAUAAUUCUUUUAAAAUGUCAUCCGUGUAUAGAAAACUACUUAGAGCAAGAUCUUUAUACAUGUUCUUAUAAUUGUACCCCAAAAGAAAAAAAUUCCACAAUCUUUCAUGAUUAUGACUGGCUUAAUGUGACAUUAAAUUGCAUUUUGCAGCACUAAAUACAAAUUCACAUUAUUUUAUGGCAUGUUUAAGAGUUAACACUUAAGUGGGUGCAAAAGCAUUAGAAACAAGCAGAAAGCUAAAAGAUUGCAUAAGUGACGCGGUGCACAAAUAUAUACCAGACUCGAAGACAUAUUUUUUCCUAUAUUUUCACGAGGAUUCCUAAUUCUAAUGGGAUUCUUUAUUUGCCUAAAUAGGUUUUUUUUUUUGGUAAGAUGCCUACAUAGGUUUUAUUUAUAUUUUCUACUUUAUUUAUGAUUCUAAAAUAUUAUUUCUUUUUAAUUUAGGUCUUUGAAUAUGUUUUUUAUUUAAAUUAGACUCUUUAAUUUAUUUCUACCUAGGUUAGGAUUUAGAACUCUAUAAAUACCCAUUGUGUACAAGUUUUUAGAUAUAUUCAAUGAAGUCUUUUUCUUUAUAAAGCUGUCUUUACUUUAUUUAUCCUUAGAUUUUAGAUUAAAUCUUGUUUAUUUUAAAGUCUUGGGUUAGAUCUUGUUUAUUUUCAAGGAUUUGAUACUGUGUCGAUCCUUUUUCCACGUUACAUGCCGCGUCAAGAAAGGAUACUCACCAACCAUUCUUGUUGACCCUGGCAACCCGUUUGGUCAAGCACCUUAACAGCAAUAGUCAUGCCAGUCUCAGGCAUCACAGCAUUCAAUGAAUUCUCAUCAAUCCAGCCUUUGAAGACACAACCAAAGCCACCUUUACCUAACACAUUACCUGGGCUGAAGUUCUUUGUGGCUUCUUUCAAUUCACUGAAGCAAAAGUUCUUCAAAUUAGGUGAGUCCAGGAUCUUCCCCUUUGUUUGAUGAUUCGAAGGAACUUUGGUGUGUGAUUUGCUAGGAGUUUUUGGGUUAUCCCCAUAGUGACAAAAACCCUUAGGUCUGUCGGCUGAACUAAAGCACAAGCCCAUGAAGACAAAGAUGAAUACCAGCAAAGAAGCUUGACCCUGAAAACAAAGAGAAGAAUACAAGGGCUUUGUACAGUUAGCUUACCUGUUCCCUUGAACAAGAAGGUCCGAUUGCAAACUUGACUGACACCGUGUGGUCCCCUUUACUGCUUCGCGGAAACUCUAUUCACUCGGAAACUUCUAUUUAUUUGUAUAUUAUCUUUUCUUUUUUCAAUUUAAUUCUCACCUGCUGCAAACACUAAAUUUCAAAGCUUAUUGGUUUAUUUAUAUUAAAAAUAACAAAGAGUAAAUUGAGUUUAAUUAUACCAAAAUCAUCCUUAUAACAAUGAGAUUUUGAGUUGGAAUCACUAAAAAUAGAUAGAUGCCCAACUGCACCAGAUCAUAGGAAAAGCAAUAAUUGUUAAUAAUUUUAUUAUCCAAAAUCAGAUUAGGCAAGGAUUUCUCUUGCUAUUAUGCAGCUUAAAUUAUUGGAAAAAUGGUAUGCCCUUGUUUUACAUAUACAAAUCUCAAGCAUAUCCAACAUACUCUUGCAGCUGUGGAAUCCAGAAAGUAGCAGAAGUAACCAUUUCCUUCUGGAGAACAAUAAGAUUUUUUUGGAAACUAUCUAUCAAUUGUCUAGACAUCACAAACUGGAUGUGAAUUGGAUUUUCUGUAAUCUAUUCCUUAACCAACAGAGAUGAGAGUUGCACAGUUC